UCCUGGGUAGCUCAGCUGGUAAAGAAUCUGCCUGCAAUGCGGAAGACCUUGGUUCAAUUCCUGGGUCGGGAA
rfam:TPA: Bos taurus chromosome 13, whole genome shotgun sequence.